AAAUGCCAUCCUUCGGGAGAAAGGUCUUGCUCAAAAUAUUAACCUUCAAUCUGUAAGUAAGUUUUAUGUUCAUAGAAAGAAUGGUAUGUGAUUUCUUUUCUGGUUCUUUUUUCCACCUGUUCUGAUAAUUUUUUAUCAUCCAACUUUUUCUUUCUUUUCCACUUCUGUAUUUCCUUUCAAGCACUCUGUAAAAAACUCAGUCAAGUAAUUGGAUUUCUGUUCUAGAACUGGUUCACAUGACUUGAUCUUUUCUCUGUUGUAGUAGGAUUAUUUUUCCUCCUGAAAAUUGGAUUUGAUUUCA
rnacentral:misc_RNA from 1 species